GUGGCCAAAUUGGAGAGAGGAGAGAUGUGCUGCGUAGCCCUCACUCAGGAACUAGAUGCACCAGGAAGUAGUGAGAGGAUUCAGGUACAUUAUUAUAAUAAAGCCCCCCCCCCAGAAAGAUGCAAUAAAAUAGCCCAUAUGACCUACCUGGCAUUGGUUCUGGUACUUCUUUGAAGGUCUGCCCACAAUUUGAAUCUGUGAGGGGCCGAGGCCGAGCAUGUUGUAAACGGAGAUGUCCUUCAUGGAUCCAUAAGCCGAGUUGAUCUUAAUGUGACACUGACCACACACAAAAUAAUCAUUAUAAGAUAUACGCAGUACCUUUGUAGUACAACCUCCGACUUUAUGACAUUGGGUUAAUACAGAAGAGUAUUGUUAGUAUUUUAUGUAUACUUCCUGACUUUUCAAUCUGUUACUUUUGCCCACAAUCAGACUUGCUUAUUUACCUCCUGGAUGAGGUUUCGUAGGAAGAUGGUCUUCUGUCGCAAUGGAUCGUGAACCAAACCCUCGGAGAAGAAGAUCAUCCCAUGAGGAAAGUUAUGCUGCGAUAACCAGGACACCACACGCUGUUUCUGCAUAUCAGGACGACCUGUGAUGUAGAUGAUCAGGUAGCCCAAGUCUUGCCAGUGCCUGGAAAAAUAAACAUAAUGUCCCAACUGCAGAACCCACUCGGAACCAGCAAAACCAACCUGACAACAUCCACUGCACCGGGGCGGACCUUAGGAUCGCUGCCCAUGAUUGACACACUGGCAGCAAAGGAGCCAUCGAUGCUGAAGACUACACACUCCAUGCCACGAGGCAGCACUGUCAGUUGCUGCCAUGAAUUAGACUGGUGAGCAUCGCGCUUUCAUUGUGGAAACGUUUAUCAAAACAAACUAAACUGUAACAGCAAGCGUUCAGUUUGCACUUCGAUCUUGGUAGACAUGACCCCGUACCAUCAGGAAACACCAUCUUGUUAUGGGUUACCAACUUCAGAGCCACUGGAUCUGCAUUGAAACCAAAAUCAACCGGCCGACCUCACUCCGCCAGAACCAAAAAUAAAAAGACUUUUUUGUUUUUUACUUUAUUUGCCUUUUAUUUAACCUACAAAUGCGUCAGAUCAUUUUGCCUGACCCUGUAUUUCCAUUGUGUUAACCCAUGUUCACUAUGUUCUUGGUUGUUUUUAUUCUCUUGGGUUUAACUGUUACUUCAGUCAUGGUCUGUUGCUUAGCUACAUAUUCAGAUACAUUUUAUUGACGUCUAUGUCGUUUGUUCCCCAUGUGUGUUUCUUCGAUUAUAUCUAGGAAUCGCCUGUUUGUUUUACCAUUUGGUUUGUUCCCUUUUUAUUAAGUGUGUUCCCUUGUCCACCAUGAUUUCUUUCUUUGCGGUCCUUUGCUAGUUUUUUUUGAAGCACCAUGUUACCUUAUAUUGCACGCAAUCCACCAAGCUUUUUGCACAUCUGGUCCCCACGAGAGCAUUGAUUUUAGGCAUUUCACACAUUUAUCAACAGGUGACAGCCAUGGAUCGAUAACCGGUGUUAAGCUUGCAUGACCGAAGUUAUUCUGGGGUUAAUAUUGAAGUUAACCUGUCAAUCAACAAGACAGAUGUCUGUCAUGCAAAUACCCUCACACACUUCAGGAAAAGCAAUUAUUAAAGAUAGAAACAACAGUUUUACAGACCCACAAACUAAUAGAAAACAUAUAUCACGGUAAAGAUAUGUUUUGGUUAACACACUGCCAGUCCUUAAAGGCUGAGAUAUAAGUAUACAUAAGUAUAUUCUUCAAAAUGUUAUCAUCUUGAAUAUGUUUGAUGUUGUGACUCUAAAA